rnacentral:tRNA from 2 species
GGUUUUGUAGUGUAGCGGUUAUCACUCCGGAUUCUGAUCUUGUCUAUUAGAAGCUUUCCGGCAACCCCAGUUCGAUUCUGGGCAAGACCU